rnacentral:rRNA from 1 species
UACGUAGGUGGCAAGCGUUGUCCGGAUUUACUGGGCGUAAAGGGCGUGCAGGCGGUUUGUUUAGUCUGGGGUGAAAGCUCCCGGCUUAACUGGGAGAGGUCCUUGGAUACUGGCAAACUUGAGGGAGGCAGAGGAAAGUGGAAUUCCCGGUGUAGUGGUGAUAUGCGUAGAUAUCGGGAGGAACACCAGUGGCGAAGGCGGCUUUCUGGGCCUUACCUGACGCUGAGACGCGAAAGCGUGGGGAGCGAACCGG